rnacentral:rRNA from 1 species
UACGAAGGGGGCUAGCGUUGCUCGGAUUGACUGGGCGUAAAGGGCGCGUAGGCGGUUUGCAUAGUCAGACGUGAAAUUCCUGGGCUUAACCUGGGGGCUGCGUUUGAUACAUGCAGGCUUGAGUUCGGAAGAGGGUCGUGGAAUUCCCAGUGUAGAGGUGAAAUUCGUAGAUAUUGGGAAGAACACCAGUGGCGAAGGCGGCUCACUGGAUCGGUACUGACGCUGAGGUGCGAAAGCGUGGGGAGCAAACAGG